AGCGCGCGUUAGUUAGCAAUUAUACCGUGAAACUGCGAAUGGCUCAUUAAAUCAGUUAUCGUUUAUUUGAUAAUACCUUACUACUUGGAUAACCGUGGUAAUUCUAGAGCUAAUACAUGCUGAAAAUCCCGACUUCGGAAGGGAUGUGUUUAUUAGAUAAAAAACCAAUGCCCUUCGGGGCUUUUUGGUGAUUCAUGAUAACUUUACGGAUCGCAUAGCCUUGCGCUGGCGACGGUUCAUUCAAAUUUCUGCCCUAUCAACUUUCGAUGGUAAGGUAUUGGCUUACCAUGGUUUCAACGGGUAACGGGGAAUUAGGGUUCGAUUCCGGAGAGGGAGCCUGAGAAACGGCUACCACAUCCAAGGAAGGCAGCAGGCGCGCAAAUUACCCAAUCCCGACACGGGGAGGUAGUGACAAUAAAUACUGAUACAGGGCUCUUUUGGGUCUUGUAAUUGGAAUGAGUACAAUUUAAACCUCUUAACGAGGAACAAUUGGAGGGCAAGUCUGGUGCCAGCAGCCGCGGUAAUUCCAGCUCCAAUAGCGUAUAUUAAAGUUGUUGCAGUUAAAAAGCUCGUAGUUGAAACUUGGGCCUGGCUGGCGGGUCCGCCUCACCGCGUGCACUCGUCCGGCCGGGCCUUCCUUCUGAAGAACCUCAUGCCCUUCACUGGGCGUGCUGGGGAAUCAGGACUUUUACUUUGAAAAAAUUAGAGUGUUCAAAGCAGGCCUUUGCUCGAAUACGUUAGCAUGGAAUAAUAAAAUAAGGGCGUGCGUUUCUAUUUUGUUGGGUUCUAGAGACGCCGCAAUGAUUAACAGGAACAUGUCGGGGCAUCAGUAUUCCGUUGGCAGAGGGGAAAUC
rnacentral:rRNA from 1 species